rnacentral:ncRNA from 1 species
CCUAAGCCACCGCCGGGUGGCAAACGCGUUUGCCCCGCAUCGUUAGGCCUUUGAAGAUGCGGCGGGCAGGCGCAUUUUUUUGU